GAAAUGAGAAUGAAAUCACCUAAAAAUAGCUGAGAAUUUUCAAGUGUCAGCUGUAACAUAAAGAGGAAUGGCUGUCUCUCCUUACAGAGCCAGGAUGGAUGGAGUGAGCUUGUGAUUCAGGAUCAAGACACAGAGAGCUUACACACAAACUGUAGAUGGAACACCCAUGCAGUGCUCCCUGUAACCCAAACAUGAAGUAGCAGCAGAGUAUCAAGUGACCAAGCAGUGCUGUACCCACGUGCCACGGGAAAAGCAUCCCACGGGUCACAGGUUGCCAUCCUGUAAAGAGCCAGGCUGUUUAUGGAGUAAAAGGCUUCAGUAUAGAGCAAAA